GGGUAUUGAAAGUCUAACUAGUAGUUAACCCAUUACCCAUGUACCGAAUCAAAUUAUAAUAUUGCUAACCUUACAAAGUCACAAUUAAAUAAGGCACCCAAGCUAUAUAUAUUGCCCAAAGAUCAACUAAUCAAAUCAAAUUCUAAAAAAUUGAUGUGAUAAUUCAACACUGCCAGUACAUAAAAACAGGCCAAAACCUUCCUGAUUUUAAUGCUCAAAAAUUUCAAAAGGGGCUUAUCAGACCUAAUAACUCUCUAUUUCCCUUUUUGUGGUAGUUGUUCUCCAUAGAGAUAGUUUGUGCUUGAAGGUGGUUUUUACUUUUUAGGCUGAGAGAUUUCUGAUGAGAAAUGUGUUUUGAGGGAUGAGAAUCAUAUGAAUAUCUUAUAUAUAACGCCCGGCCUAAAUCUGAGUCAAAUUACAUGUGAUUAUUUUUCCUUUGUAUUCAAGAAGCUAUGGAUAGUGAUGGAUCUUAACAUUGGCAAAAGGCCAUGAGGGAGGAGUUACAAUCCUUGAAUAAGAAUCAAGGUUGGGUCCUUGUUGAGUUGCCAAAGGAUCGCCCGAGGGCAACAUGCUGCAAGAGCGUCAAUGAGUGGUAAGCGCAAGUGCAAAAGACGUGCCCGAAACACUAUUUCCAACUGCCAUCGCUGUAACAGUAAACCAUAAGGGGAGUUGGCCACAAGUCAGUGUCAAUGGUGGGCCAAAAAAAUAAGAGGAAGAAAAAACAACUAUGAUUUCAAGCCUAAACAGAUCGAUGGGAAGGUAAUGGAGCAAGACAACAAGGCUCAAGGGCUGGAUGGAGGUGGCAGAGUGGCAAAAAAAAAGAGAGGGGGAGGCAGUCAGUAUGAUAUCUAUUGGUGAAUCUUCUGGCUAAAUACAUUCCAGUCAUAUUGGAUUUUUGAACCAAAAAAUACCCUUCCAACCACUUCCACCAACAUUAUUGCUGAUUGACAGUCUUUACAAACCAGCAUUGCUGGUCGAUGGCACGGUUUGAUCAGAUUAUUGAACGGACAAAUACGGGAGAAUCAAGCCUGGAAAAGAAGUACGAGGAAAAAGUGCAGCAGCAGCUUGAAGCCAUGAUGUUUGAACUUACCUACCUCAUGCUCCUUGAACAAAUCAAAUGGAUGUAAAGUUUCAACAAUUCAAUGACGCGUUUGCAUUGCAAAAAGGACCCACAUGAAACUUGACGAUUGUGAGGUUGGUAAAUAAGUAAGGUCACAUUGCACACAUGAUAAACUUUUCAGAUGGAUAAAAGAGAUCCAUUUUAAAUAUUUACAAGCAGCAUAACUCUACUCCAUUUAACUUCAAGUUUAAAUAAGGUUUUCACACAGACAGCAAACAGAUAAAGAUAUCACAGCCCAGGGUAGUUUGUUUAUGCUGCCUCUGCAAAUCCAACUCUCAGUUUACCAGCAUCAAAGAUAGUGUGGUAGCGACCCAUGAAGACAUCCCCCAAUAUCCUGCAUUGCAAAAGAACCAUUAGUGAGAAUCAUCUACACCAGAAGCAUCACAUGUACAGAUGCUGAAUGAUAAAUGGAAAGUUGACUUGAAUGGAACUCUACCAGAGAGGUCCACGAGGAGGAGGAAUGUCCAUAGCCAUAAAGCCACUGAUGCACUGAGCCGUAGGACCCUCACCCACCUUCAGUAUGUACUGGUGACACCAUCCAGAAAAGUUUGAUAUCAGUACAAUGAUAUUCUAGUUAUAUAUUGAUGAAGUUUGCCAAGAUAAUAUCAUCAUAUAUAUAUAUAUAUAUAUGACAGUAGCUCGACAAAAGCCAUGGAGAAUUUUCAUUCUAAACAAUGGCUGGUAUCAGUUCAAAGUUAUUGAAUGUUUCAGCUUGUUUGGCUCUUUAGUUUUAUUAUGCAGUUAACUAGAUACAGAUGAUCAGAAGAUGAGUAAGAUGCAAACAAAGAAACAAUUAAAAAAAAAAAAUUGUCUUUGAAGCUUCAAUGACACCUCCUACCCUUAAAAGAAACUUUUCCUUUCAGAACA